GGAGAGGAAAGGGAUUCGGCUAAGAGAGAGAUGGAAAGGGAGAAGAGAAAGGAGAGUUUAGCAGCAAAAAUGAGAGGGAAGAAGGAAGGGAUAUUCGGCCAAUAGAGAGAAGAGGAAAAAGAAAACGAAAUAGGAAAGUGUACAAACCCGAGAAUAAACUUGCCAAAAACCAAAAGCUGCAAUAUGAAAUUGACCAAAACUGAGACAAG
rnacentral:lncRNA from 1 species